GUUAUGUAAACGUUUGGCUUAUUUGCAUAUUUGGAGCUUCUGUUUGCAAGUCUUAGAGUUGUAUAAUUCAAGGGUCCAUUGAAGACUUAGGUUAUUAUGUGGACCAUUCCUGGGGUUCUUUUAGAUUUCUAUAAGAAUUUAGUGUGGUGAGAUAAACGAUAUUCUUUUAUCCUUAGCUAGAGAUUUUAUAUUUAAAUUUGUGAAUCAUUAAAUCUUUGAUGGCACAAUCAAAAAGAUCAAAGAUGGAAACGUUGUCGGCAAGCAAUUUCUAACAUAUUUCCAAUGGAAAAUAUUCCAUUUGGAAGUUUCCUUUGCAUUAUGAAUUUGAAUUUGUUGGAUCAAUAAGAAACCAUAAGACAAAUAAGAAAACCCAACAGUGUUCUUAUUUUUUAAGAGAAUGGUCAAGCUGCAGGCGGGAGAACGGGGUAAAGGAAUCAAAGCUUUAGUUUCUUAGAGCGACAAAAGAGAAAUAUCCUUAUAGGGGAUAAUUUUAGUAAAUAAAGGUCUUUCUAAGAGAAGAUGAAAGCCUAAGGCAAAGUUCUCUAAUGAUUAACUUCUUAUAAAUACAAAGCCAUAACACCUGUAUGAGAGUAUGCAUGUGCUGAACUUCUAAACAUAUUGAAAUAUGUUAGCUUUAUAUGAUUAUUGCUAAUACACAAAUCUCCAUGAUCCUUGCUAAUACACAAAUCUCCUCUUUUAAAGUUUCACUGUGAUAAUUCAUGGCUGUCGUGUUCAACAACAACUGCCUUAUUGACCUUGUUUCUCAGCUUUCUCUCUCUUUCUCAGAAACUCCAUGGACAAUUUAACUCACCUAUUAAAUCAAUCUCAAAAUCAUCAAGAUUUUGUGUUUUUUCUUGAAGACUACUGAAGAGGAUUGAGAGAGAUCUAAACCGAAUCUUCGCCUGGAGCAUCAUAGGUUAAUUUCUUUGAUAUUUAUGGACGCAAAUUAAAUACAUCAGAUGUUGGCGUAUCUUGUAAUGGAGUAGGUACAUUCUUCCUGAAGAGUAGCAAAGGGUUCUCAAUUAAAGGAUAACAAUUUUUGACCUUUAUUGAGGAUCCACAGACACCCGAAAAUGACAUAGGAUAGAGCUCCUUCAAUUAUUUUUAGUCAAGUGAUGCGGCUAGUGAAUUCAUUUCGUCCAUGGAUGCAAGGAGAUCACGUGAUGAUAAUGAUCAUAAUGACAUUCUUUGAUUUUGUUGCAUUUGUCUUGGAUAUUCAAUUAUGGUGAUGUAAUUGUGUGAUUGGAGUGGAUCUUAGAAUAUUGAAUUUUUUGUGUUUAAAUUUGAUUUUGGAGUUUGAACUUUGAAGAUAUUAGUUAAUGUUGAAAA